GCCCGCUUAGUUUAACGGUUAGAACAGAGGUCUCAUAAUCCUCAGAUAUGAGUUCGAUUCUCAUAGCAGGCA
rnacentral:tRNA from 1 species